UCCCUGGUGGCUCAGAUGGUAAAGCGUCUGCCUACAAUGCAGGCGACCCGGGUUCAAUCCCUGGGUUGGGAA
rnacentral:tRNA from 1 species